rnacentral:rRNA from 3 species
GCUUGCUUCUCUUGAGAGCGGCGGACGGGUGAGUAAUGCCUAGGAAUCUGCCUGGUAGUGGGGGAUAACGUUCGGAAACGGACGCUAAUACCGCAUACGUCCUACGGGAGAAAGCAGGGGACCUUCGGGCCUUGCGCUAUCAGAUGAGCCUAGGUCGGAUUAGCUAGUUGGUGAGGUAAUGGCUCACCAAGGCGACGAUCCGUAACUGGUCUGAGAGGAUGAUCAGUCACACUGGAACUGAGACACGGUCCAGACUCCUACGGGAGGCAGCAGUGGGGAAUAUUGGACAAUGGGCGAAAGCCUGAUCCAGCCAUGCCGCGUGUGUGAAGAAGGUCUUCGGAUUGUAAAGCACUUUAAGUUGGGAGGAAGGGCAGUUACCUAAUACGUGAUUGUUUUGACGUUACCGACAGAAUAAGCACCGGCUAACUCUGUGCCAGCAGCCGCGGUAAUACAGAGGGUGCAAGCGUUAAUCGGAAUUACUGGGCGUAAAGCGCGCGUAGGUGGUUAGUUAAGUUGGAUGUGAAAUCCCCGGGCUCAACCUGGGAACUGCAUUCAAAACUGACUGACUAGAGUAUGGUAGAGGGUGGUGGAAUUUCCUGUGUAGCGGUGAAAUGCGUAGAUAUAGGAAGGAACACCAGUGGCGAAGGCGA